CGUAACGGCCGACGCGGCCCGGCAUUUUUCUCUAAAUCGGCAGUAAAUACAGCUGAGUAAAAUUAGCUUGGUUUUCUUCCUUCUUUUGUAACUGAACUGUUUUUAUUAAAAAUCCUAUUUGAAUAUGUAGAAAAAGUGGGGAUGUCCUGUAGCAUAUCGUAGCUUUUCUUGUUUACAGGGUGCUCAGAAAGCAUGCGUCCCUUAGAGUCCCACGGAAAGGUUCUCAGUGCGCUCUCUAUCAAGUGCUAUGAGUCUUGAUAAAUUGGAGAAGAGCCCAAGAGAAAUUUUUCAUCCCUUGAUAUAAAAGGGAUCGGUGAAUUUUAACUUUGGAGUCCUCUAUGCUAAGGAUGCUCAGCUUACAGUAUUUGCUGCAGCUCUGCUUACCCAAGCUUUGGGUUCCUUCUGUCCCACUGGGAGUUGCCCAAUUUGGUUGCAUCUGGUGAAAUUCACCCUGAGACCUUACAGAACCAGCUCCAACUACGUGAGAGCCAUUUGCAGUUCUCUCCAGACACCUGGAGAAGGGGCGAUGUUUCUGAGGAUCCGGCGAGCGUGCUUCUAUCAAAACUCAGUCUGUGAAAUUCCUGGGGAAAACCCUUCUGUGUCCUGAAGGGUUCAAACUCUGGUGAGGAUCCAGUUAUCAGGUGCUCACCUGGAUGGUUCCAGCUCCCAAAGGGAAAGACUCUCGUAUCCUUGUCGUCGGGCUUGGUGCUGUCCAAGAAGAUACAGAGACUAAAAAAAUCAUAAGAAGCAAAAUAUGACUGCAGGGAAAAGAAGCUGGAGAGAACAGAAGACUCAUCACGGCGGGACAGCGUGAGGACUGAAAGUGUAAGAAGAUGUGGAGGGAAACAGAGAAUCUGACAGGAGCAGCGAACGCACGAGUGCACGAAUUUUGCUUUUUGCUUGGAUGUAAACUCAGGAGUUGAGAGGAAUUUGGGAGUGAGAAGGGACAUUUUAGAAGGAGAAGAAGAAAAAGAAGUUGUUGCUACAGUCCUGGCAAAAGAUUUUGUUCUAGCUAAUAAAAGAAGUUAGCUUAAAAAACAAAAAGGAAAAAAUGUAGUGGUUUUUUUUUUUUCCUUCACUCUUAUAUUCAUUGGUGGUAUAUGGUGUGUUGUUUUAUUUCUUGGUAUUAUUAAGUCUGUGUAAAUUGUUUUUUGAGUGAAGCUGACUUUCUGGAUGGGUUGGUUUGUAUUUGAGGCAGGAUUAAUUUCAAUAGGGUUCUUUCAUAGAUUUCUGAUGGGUAAUACUGGGAUUUUGGUUUUGUUUACUGUAUGUAUAAACAUAGAGCUUUGGUAGGGCCAGCUGGGCUGCUGGAGAUUUGGGUGUGAAUUUAUUAGAUGGCUUUUGUUAAAUGCAGUUUUUAAUUUUUGAAAUGUUUUUCAAUGUAGUGGUUUUAAGGUGGUUUUUAAGAAUUCAUUGUAUUGUUUUAUCUUGUUUGUAGUUGGUGUAUGAUAAGGGAUGUGGUGUGACUUUUUGAACAUUAUGAUUUUGGUGUUCCUAAGUUCUGAUUUCUUUGUGGUUCAAUAGUUUUUUUUAUUUUUAUUUUUUGGGACAGGGGCAUUUAUAUGGUGGGUUUUUAUAGGCAAUAUGUUUUUUAAUUUAGGUAGUGAUAUUUUUUAGUAUUUUAAUGGUUUAGGUUUUUUAUUUUCAUGGUUUUUAUUUUUUGUUUUAAUUUUUUCAAAUAACUUUGAUAGAUUAUAGGUUAUUAUUUGUGCAUUAGCCUAAAGGUAGAGCUUUGGGGACUUUUUUUAGUAAUGUUUAGGAUCAGUUGUACAGUUUUGAGUCUAGUGAGUUGCUUUGCUUGAAUUUUUAUUGUGUGUUUGUUUUUAUUAGCAGUUGUGUCAUUUUCAAGGUGUGUUUGAGUUUUUUGGGGUUUUUGAGAUACUGGUUUAGGAGGAAGUUUAUGAUGAGCAUGUGCGGAGGUUUCGGGCUACUUUAUAGUGGGAUUUAAAAUUUAUUUACAGUUAGGUUUAUUUGAGUUUUUAUUAGGGU